GGGGGUGCGAGUUUUGACGGAAUCAUCUGAAGUUAAACGGCAGGUUGUGUAUGGCCGUCACCACAUUAAAAAUUCGGCUGAUCAAAUAGGUGCAAAUUAUUCACCUAACUACGCUUACGCCUAAACAGCAGUAAGCGCGUUCUAUCUGCAAGGUUCUCGGUAGCAGAAUAGAGCGUCAGACACCGAGAGAAAAUACAGGAGUUCAUACCUAAUGAAUUUCUGUAGCACCUUUUAUUUCUUAGGCACCCGGAGAUUUUGUCGGCUUUUUACUUCGGGUUUGAUUUAAACCGAUUUAAACCUGCUAAACGUUUUUCCAAAGUAAUUCCCGGACGGGAGUUCAAUCUCCCCACCUCCACUU
rnacentral:tmRNA from 5 species